GGGAGUAUAGCUCACUGGUAGAGCACAUGCUUUGCAUGUAUGAGGCCCCGGGUUUGAUCCCUGCCACCUCCA
rnacentral:tRNA from 1 species